GCAGCGCAGGGUCCCGAGGACGGCCUGGCCCGGAGAAAAGAUACCGAAGCUCCAACUUUCCCCAACCCCGCUCCCCUCCUCCUUCCACCCUCCCUUCCCGCCCCAAAGCUCGGGGGUCCUAUCCCUCCUCCGGUCCGCGGAGUCUCCCGAACCCUGCGGGGACCCGGCGCUCGGCGGUGCCCUCCUGGGGCGCACGGGGCUGGGGCGGGAGCGGGGAGACCAGGUGGGGAGGGGACCCCAGAUCUCAGACGCCCGGGGAGACGGCGUUUCCCGCUGUUCAUUCAGGUUUGUGCCAAAAGGAGCCUCACAGAUGCAGUACUGGGUUUGGUAGACUCAAAUCGUCUUGUUUUAAUGUAAAUGAAACGACCCAGGCGCGAGCGCGCAUCGCGGAGGCCACGAUUCCCGUUUUAUUCCCUCUCCACGGCAAGGAAAAGCAGCGAAAUCUGAGGUCUUCAGAGGUUAACCCUAUCUAGGAGCAGAAUGUGACGCAUUGUAAACAAAUAAAUGUUGAAAACUCGAUGUUAAACACUUUA
rnacentral:antisense_RNA from 1 species